rnacentral:rRNA from 1 species
UACGUAGGGUGCGAGCGUUGUCCGGAAUUAUUGGGCGUAAAGCGCACGUAGGCGGAUUGUUAAGUCAGGGGUGAAAUCCCGGAGCUCAACUCCGGAACUGCCUUUGAUACUGGCAAUCUUGAGACUGGAAGAGGUUAGUGGAAUUCCCAGUGUAGAGGUGAAAUUCGUAGAUAUUGGGAAGAACACCAGUGGCGAAGGCGGCUAACUGGUCCAGUACUGACGCUGAGGUGCGAAAGCGUGGGGAGCAAACAGG